rnacentral:lncRNA from 1 species
AUGAUAGAAAUUGUCUUAGCUAUAUGUAAAAGCCUGGAGUUGUUCUGUAGCCAUUGAUCUAUGCAAUAUGAUUUCCAUGUGAAAUGUUAAGUGGCCAUAAUAUAGGUACAGCAUAGAUAGAGCAUAAAUGUAGUAUUGAUAUAGCAUAGGUGCAGAGAUAUGGUAUAGGUGCAGAGAUAUGGCAUAGGUGGAGAGUUAAAAAACUUGAUGUAGAUACAGUGUUUGCUAUAGCUUAGGUGCAGGAUUUAAAAAAUGUAACUGAUGUAUUUUUUUUAUCUGGAAUGGAUGCUGUAUAUGAUAUAACAUAGGUGCAGUAUCCGAUAUAACAUAGGUGCAGUAUCCGAUAUAACAUAAGUGCAGUAUCUGAUAUAACAUAGGUGCAGUAUCCAAUAUAACAUAAGUGCAGUAUCUGAUAUAACAUAGGUGCAGUAUCUGAUAUAACAUAGGUGCAGUAUCUGAUAUAACAUAAGUGCAGUAUCCGAUAUAACAUAGGUGCAGUAUCCGAUAUAACAUAGGUGCAGUAUCUUAUAUAACAUAGAUCUAUCUGAUAUAACAUAAGUGCAGUAUCUGAUAUAACAUAAGUGCAGUAUCUGAUAUAAUAUAGAUGCAGUAUCUAAUAUAACAUGGAUGCUGUAUCUGAUAUAACAUAAGUGCAGUAUCUGAUAUAACAUAGAGGCAGUAUAUGAUAUAACAUAGAUGCACUAUCUGAUAUAACAGAUGCAGUAUCAAUAUAACAGAGGCGGUAUAUGAUAUAACAGAUGCAGUAUCCAUAUAACAGAUGCAGUAUCCAUAUAACAGAUUUAUCUGAUAUAACAUAGAUGCAGUAUCUGAUAUAAGAUAGAUGCAGUAUCUGAUAUAAGAUAGAUGCAGUAUCCAUAUAACAGAUGCAGUAUGAUAUAACAGAUGCAGUAUCCAUAUAACAGAUGCAGUAUGAUAUAACAUGCAGUAUCCAUAUAACAGAUCUAUCUGAUAUAACAGACGCAGUAUCUAAUAUAAGAUAGAUGCAGUAUAUGAUAUAACAUAGAUGCAGUAUCCAUAUAACAGGCAGUAUGAUAUAACAGAUGCAGUAUCCAUAUAACAGAUCUAUCUGAUAUAACAUAGAUGCAGUAUCUGAUAUAACAUAGAUGCAGUAUCCAUAUAACAGAGGCAGUAUAUGAUAUAACAGAUGCAGUAUCCAUAUAACACAGAUGAAGUAUUUGAUAUAGCAUAGAUACAACAGUAUAUUUUACAGCAUAAGUAGAGUAUUUGAGACAGCAAAGAUCUAGUAUUGAAUCGCAUGAACAUAGUAAUGCAUUCAUGCAGUGUUUGGUCCAGAUGCAGUAUUUGAUACAGGAGUGAUGCAGUAUUGUUAUAGCAUAGAUGAUGGGCCAUUAUUCCAAUAUUCAGUCAAGAUGCUGUGUAUAUUAGAGCAUUGAUGCAAUAUAUGGAAUAAAGACAUGAUCAACACAGCAUAAAUCUGUUCAACACACAGCAGGGAUCAAAUUUGUGUAGCAUAGAUUUUAU